GGGGAGUCCGACGCUGGAGAAAGGUAAAUGCUGAAGACACACACACACACUCUCACGAACAGACGCAUACACACUAGCUAACAGACACACACAUUUACUGACAGAGACACACUCAGCGACAGACAUACAUACACACUCACUUACAAAACAUACACUUUCACUGACAAACACACACACUCAGUAACACACACAGUAACACACUCACUAGCAGACACACACCCAAUAACAGACACACUCACUGACACACACACAGACACACUCACUAACACACACACACACAUACACUAACAUACACACGCUAACACACACAUACACUAACACACACACUAACACACACACUAACACACAAACACACACACACUAACACACACAUACACUAACACACACACACACACUAACACACACACACACUAACACACAAACACACACACACACUAACACAUACACUAACACACACACACACUAACACACACACACUAACACACACAUACACUAACACACACACACAUACACUAACACACACACACACAUACACUAACACACACAUACAUACACUAACACACAAACACAUACUUUUUUUAAAUUUAAUCCCCCCAGCCUCCUUACCUUUUGGAGUGCUGGGGGGAUUCCCUGGGAUCCAGUGGUGCUGCUGGGCUCCUGGUCACUGGGUGGGCGGGCUGUCUGGGCGGCCGGUGCGCGAGGGAGCACUUUACACUGUGUGCUUCCUCUUCAGCUCCCUCGCGCGCCGGGUAGGGAUGCCGGCGCCGGAAGAUGACGUCAUCUUCCGGCAUCAGUGCGGUGUGCGAGGGAGUUGAAGAGGAAGCACACAGUGUAAAGUGGCUGGCCCUGUGGAGAAGAGGCUGGCCCUGUGGCUACAUACCGGGUCGCAGGGGCGGCCGGGCCCCCUGGUGGGCCGGGCCUGGUCGCAGCCACGACCCCUGCGACCCUGGUAUGUACGCCACUGGUGCCAUCCCUGGUGGUCCAGUGGAGAGUGAACUCUCGCCUGUGGGGCUAGAGUUCACUCUCGCGAGAGGAACCCGGCAGAGCUGCUGGCUAGAGCUCCCAGGUCCUCUCCUGCAUCCCUCCAUGCUGCUGUGGGCCGGUGAGGUAGAUCUUUGAUCUGCCCACCGGCCCAUGGAGGCUUAGAGCAGAGCCGGCUCUCGGAUAGCGCCGGCUCUGUAUGAGCCGACAGGUGAGAUCCUGAGAUCUCACCUGCCGGUCUCAAUCCAUAGGCGUGCCGCGGGGAUUAGGGUGUGCCCAGGCACACCCCGUGCGCACGCCUAUGGUCAGAUAUCAGGUAUUGAGAUAGAAUAGCCUAUAUAAGUCACUUGAGUGGCAGAGUUUCAUUCUAUGCAUGUUCCAUGGAGGGAGACUGACAGCAGAGGCCAAAUGGUAUGAAC